UACGUAGGGUGCGAGCGUUAAUCGGAAUUACUGGGCGUAAAGCGUGUGCAGGCGGUUUGUUAAGACAGGUGUGAAAUCCCCGGGCUUAACCUGGGAAUUGCGCUUGUUACUGGCAAGCUAGAGUGCGUCAGAGGGAGGUGGAAUUCCACGUGUAGCAGUGAAAUGCGUAGAUAUCGGGAGGAACACCCGUAGCGAAGGCGGCACUCUGGGCCGUACCUGACGCUGAGGCGCGAAGGCUAGGGGAGCGAACGGG
rnacentral:rRNA from 1 species